AGAGUUUGAUCAUGGCUCAGGAUGAACGCUGGCGGCGUGCCUAAUACAUGCAAGUCGAACGAGGUGCUUUUGUAGCAAUACGAGAGUAUCCUAGUGGCGAACGGGUGAGUAACGCGUUGGUGACCUACCCCAAAGUGUGGGAUAACAGUCCGAAAGGAUUGCUAAUACCGCAUGUGGUCAUUGGAUUUAGAAACCGAUGUCUAAAGGAGCAAUUCGCUUUGGGAGGGACCUGCGUCCCAUCAGCUAGUUGGUGAGGUAACGGCUCACCAAGGCGACGACGGGUAGGGGACCUGAGAGGGUGACCCCCCACAAUGGAACUGAAACACGGUCCAUACACCUACGGGUGGCAGCAGUAGGGAAUAUUGCUCAAUGGGCGAAAGCCUGAAGCAGCAACGCCGCGUGUGUGAUGAAGGCCUUCGGGUCGUAAAGCACUUUUCUGGGAGAUGAGAAAGGACAGUAUCCCAGGAAUAAGUCUCGGCUAACUACGUGCCAGCAGCCGCGGUAAUAC
rnacentral:rRNA from 1 species